rnacentral:rRNA from 1 species
AGGGUAUUCGUGCGUGGAUGGCAGCUCAGGAUCAGCCUCAUGAAAAUAUUAUAUUCCCUUAGUAGGUUCUACCACGUGGAAACGCUCUUUAAUGGAACUUUCGUUUUAGCUGGUCGUGACCAAGAAACCACCGGCUUUACUUGGUGGGCUGGGAAUGCCAGACUUAUCAAUUUUUCCGGUAAACUACUUGGAGCUCACGUAGCCCAUGCCGGAUUAAUCGUAUUCUGGGCCGGAGCAAUGAACCUAUUUGAAGUGGCCCAUUUCGUACCAGAAAAGUCCAUGUAUGAA